rnacentral:rRNA from 1 species
AGUCAACGCUGGCGGUAGGCCUAACACAUGCCAGUCGAACGGCAGCACAGUAAGAGCUUGCUCUUACGGGUGGCGAGUGGCGGACGGGUGAGGAAUACAUCGGAAUCUACUUUUUCGUGGGGGAUAACGUAGGGAAACUUACGCUAAUACCGCAUACGACCUACGGGUGAAAGCAGGGGAUCUUCGGACCUUGCGCGAUUGAAUGAGCCGAUGUCGGAUUAGCUAGUUGGCGGGGUAAAGGCCCACCAAGGCGACGAUCCGUAGCUGGUCUGAGAGGAUGAUCAGCCACACUGGAACUGAGACACGGUCCAGACUCCUACGGGAGGCAGCAGUGGGGAAUAUUGGACAAUGGGCGCAAGCCUGAUCCAGCCAUACCGCGUGGGUGAAGAAGGCCUUCGGGUUGUAAAGCCCUUUUGUUGGGAAAGAAAAGCAGCAGGUUAAUACCCCGCUGUUCUGACGGUACCCAAAGAAUAAGCACCGGCUAACUUCGUG